AAUCUUCCGCAAUGGACGAAAGUCUGACGGAGCAACGCCGCGUGAGCGAUGAAGGUCUUCGGAUCGUAAAGUUCUGUUGUUAGGGAAGAACAAGUACCGGAGUAACUGCCCGUACCUUGACGGUACCUCGUCAGAAAGCCACGGCUAACUACGUGCCAGCAGCCGCGGUAAUACGUAGGUGGCAAGCGUUAUCCGGAAUUAUUGGGCGUAAAGCGCGCGCAGGCGGUUUCUUAAGUAUGAUGUGAAAGCCCACGGCUCAACCGUGGAGGGUCAUUGGAAACUGGGAAGCUUGAGUGCAGAAGAGGAGAGUGGAAUUCCAUGUGUAGCGGUGAAAUGCGUAGAGAUAUGGAGGAACACCAGUGGCGAAGGCGACUCUCUGGUCUGCAACUGACGCUGAGGCGCGAAAGCGUGGGGAGCGAACA
rnacentral:rRNA from 1 species